rnacentral:lncRNA from 1 species
AGGUCGAGCAGGUUACUGUGCCUGUGAAUUUCUGUCACUAUGAGGCAGAGUUAAUGCAGAUGACAAAGCAAUCCAAAGCUGCACGCCUUGGGGAACCUUGGCAAUUUGCAUGGCAAAGCAAAGAUAGACCGGAUCUGUGCCUCCUAGCUGCUGGUGGGGGAUGUUUCUAUCAGCCCCACUGGAGCCCAGAUUUCAUCCAGGAUGGUUUUGAAGAUCUUUUGACUAAAACAGACCCAAAGAAAAGAUGCAAAGCAGAGGUGACCUUCCAGGAAGGGUUUGGAGGUGAAAUGCCUGUUCAGAUUAUAGAAGGAAGUUCUUUCCACCCACUGAAAGUGGCACAAAUGCAGUUUGACACUGGGAGGAAAAUGAAACAAGUCAAAGGAGUGAAUGCUUCCUCUAUGUACAAUUCACCCACAAAGUGAAUCAGUGAGUGGCAUUGGUGUCUGCUGUACAGAAGAGUUACUAACACAGCUGAUUGCUGUGUUCCAGGCUGUACAAUAAAGACAGUUCUUCAUAAUAGUCUCUGCUACA